rnacentral:rRNA from 1 species
AACCUCAUCAACCCUGUGAACAUACCUAUAACGUUGCCUCGGCGGGAACAGACGGCCCCGUAACACGGGCCGCCCCCGCCAGAGGACCCCCUAACUCUGUUUCUAUAAUGUUUCUUCUGAGUAAACAAGCAAAUAAAUUAAAACUUUCAACAACGGAUCUCUUGGCUCUGGCAUCGAUGAAGAACGCAGCGAAAUGCGAUAAGUAAUGUGAAUUGCAGAAUUCAGUGAAUCAUCGAAUCUUUGAACGCACAUUGCGCCCGCCAGUAUUCUGGCGGGCAUGCCUGUUCGAGCGUCAUUACAACCCUCAGGCCCCCGGGCCUGGCGUUGGGGAUCGGCGGAAGCCCCCUGCGGGCACAACGCCGUCCCCCAAAUACAGUGGCGGUCCCGCCGCAGCUUCCAUUGCGUAGUAGCUAACACCUCGCAACUGGAGAGCGGCGCGGCCACGCCGUAAAACACCCAACUUCUGAAUGUUGACCUCGAAUCAGGUAGGAAUACCCGCUGAACUUAAGCAUAUCAA